AGAGCUCCCAAGCCCCUGCCCGCCACAUCUGCAGUGCCGCACACAGACAGGAGACCAGCAUUACAGCAACAACCGAGUGAGACGGACCGCUGGGGCUGGGCUGGGGCGGAGGCAGGGAAGGGGAAUCUGUCCGUUUCUUCUCCUAGGGUUUCCAUGAAGGAGGCAACAUGUGUCUCAUUGGUAAACCCUUUUUGUUCCUACAAGUUGAUUUCACAAGGAGAUAACUCACCCCCACAAGGCGGAAAUUAGCUCUUUAAACACAAACCAGACCCACGGGUAGGCAAGAGGAGCCCCGCCUGCCUCCUGCUCCUCCUGGAGUGAGGUUGAGGGUGAGCAAGGGAAGGUCUGGGCCAGGGAGGAGGGCUCCUCCGCAUUCUCCCUCCCCAGGAGCAGGACCCUGCCCCAGCCUGGAGGAAGGGGCGAGAGGCAGAAGAAGGUAGAAAGCAGUUCUCAGGCCACUGUCCCUGGUGGAGGUUUAGGCCCCUAAAACUGUGAGGGUCUCUGUCCUUCCAAUACCCUACAAGGGGCUUCGGCUUGGACCCUGUCAGCUAAGGCAGUCAUUCAACAGCUUUUUUAAGAAGACAUUAUUCAUUUAGUCUUUUAACUUAAAUUUAUUGAACACACACUAUGUGCCAGCACUGUUCUGAGCCCUGAGGCAGGAGAGAUGACAGUUCAGCGGGGACACAGCCAGAUAACUAAAUCCCCUCCAAAGUCUGAGGGUUACAAAGGGAAUCACAGGUUGAGCUGGUCUGUACCAUGGGAAACCAAAUUUAGUCCAAGAGCAUUUGGGGAUGGGGGGAGAUUCCUGAAGAAAAGAACCUUUCCGUGGUGAUCUGAAGGGCAGGGGAAAGUCCGCUGAGCAGAGGGUGGCAGGCUCAGGAUGGGGAUGGGGGUGGGGGAAAGUGUGUUCCCCACAGAGGAAACAGCACGGGUGAAGUCUCAGAGUAGACAGGGCUUGAAAUCCUGGAGGCUCUCUUUCAAAUUCCCAAGCCUGCAGGGCAGGAUUAGGGGCUGAGCACCCUGCUAGCCUGAGUUCCUCCCCCUUCUUCCCAAAUGGCCCUUCUUGCAGGAAGAGGGCUCUGUUGCUCUCCACCAUCCCACAGAGAUAUCAGCAUCUGCUGACUCAGAGCUGAACCCGAGCUUUAUUUGAUGUAAUGAGGAGCCCACACUGGCCCUUCUGAUCCCAGGGAUGCGGGAAACUUGCCUUCCAGGCGCGAGUGUGAGCUCCCGGAGGGCGGGACUCUAUCCCUCCCACCCCUCCUCCUGCCUUCCCCUGAUGCUCAGCGCCUGGCCCUUGGGUAAGAGGGACUUCAGAAAUUGAGCUUGGCAAAGCCAUUGCUUGUUCUGGCGGCCAGUAUUCAUUUGUGGGCCUGUCCUAUACAGGCGGCUGCUGUGCCCUGAGGUUCACCAGCUGGGCUUCCCAGAGUCCCCGUGCCCACACCAGAGGCCAGCAAGCCCUUCCCUGCUCAGGGGUCUCAGACUGUUACCUUAGGGAGCAGCCAACUCCCAUCUGAUUUUAAAUCCACCUCCAACCAUUGGAGUCCAGUUCCAGACAGGGAGCCCACUCCCUCUACAAGGCAGCAGUGUCAGGGGUUAGACAUCCUUGCCUAUCAGAAACCAUGCCCUUUGGCCAGGUGUGGUGGCUUACACUUGUAAUCCUAGCACUUUGGGAGGCCGAGGCAGGUGGAUCACCUGAGGUCAGGAGUUAGAGACCCAGCCUGGCCAACAAGGCAAAAUCCCAUCUCUACUAAAAAUACAAAAAAUUAGCCGGACGUGGUGGCGCACACCUGUAAUCCCAGCUACUAGGGAGGCUGAGGCAGGAGAAUCGCUUGAACCCAGGGGGCAGAGGUUGCAGUGAGCCAAGAUCGUGCCACUGCACUCCAGCCUGGACAAAAGAGGCAAACUCCAUCUCAAAAAAAAAGAAAGAAAGAAAGAAAAGAAACCAUCCUCUUCCUUGGAGGAAGCCUAACUCUGCCUUCCCCAGGCUGGUUUGGCAGCGAGCAAGAUGAGUCAAGGCCUGCACCAAAUGGAACCUGAUGUAUGGUAGGGCUUAGGGGAGACAACACCAGAGGGGAAGUGAAGUGGGGGAAGAGAAGAGAGACGGGAGUUGGCUGUUUGAGACAAGGUGGUCAGGGAAGGCCUCACUGAGAAGGUGGUGUGUUGCUGAUACCAGAGGGGAGAGAGGGAGGUACCAGUUGGGCACUGUGUUCAUCUGUUUCGCAUUGCUGUGAAGGAAAACCUGACUCUGGGUAACUUAGAAGGAAAGGGGGUUUAUGUGGCUCACAGUUCUGCAGGCUGUGCAGGAAGCAGCACGGCACCAGCAUCAGCUUCUGGGGAGGGCCUCAGGAAACCCACAAUCGUGAUGGAAGGUGAAGGGGGGUCAGGCAGGACACUUGGCAAGAGAGGGAGCAGGAGAGAUGCCAGGCACUUACAAAUAGCCAGCUCUCACAUGAACUGAUAGAGCGAGAACUCACUCAUUACCACAGGGAGGGCACCAAGCCAUUCAGGAGGGAUACCCCGCAAUGACCCAAACACCACACACCAGGCCUCACUUCCAACACUGGGGUCACAUUUCAACAUGAGAUUUGGAGGGCACACACAUCCAAACCAUAUCGGGCACUGAAGAAAGGCAAUCAGGUUGCCUGAAGGAGCCUCCAUCUGCCCAGGGGCUGCAGCCAGGCUGGCAGAAAGGGACCCCAGCUGAGCCCAGGCACAGUCCCUUCCCCACCCCCCACGGAGAGCCCAGUGCCAACAAUACCACCUCCCUCCUCAUGGGAAGACACAGAGGCCACCAAGGGAGGCCCUAAGCAGAGGGGAGGAAAUGGUGAGCUUCGUCCUUUUCCCCUGGUGGGGGCCUAGCAAGCAGAGCGCAGCCUUGUGCCUGGUACUUUGGCCAGGGCAUAGCUGGAAGGUCCAGAGGUAAGGGCCAGGUUUCUGCAUGGCAGUGGAGAACGCCUGGUUGGGGAGGCCACCUAGCCGGAUUUGAACCCUGGGACUGGCUAUGUGGCCUUGAGUGAGUCUUUUCCUCUCUGUGGGUCUCACUGUCCUCUCUCAAAUCCGGCCUGGAGAUUCUCCAGUUGUGAACUCUCCCCACAAGGCCCCCGUCCCUGCACACCAGUAACCAGUUGUAACAAGAAGGUCACAGAGAGUGGUUGUGACUUCCUAGGUGCCCCCAUUGCCUCCCACCUGCCCCCUCCUGGCCCCCAGCUGCCCUGCCCAGUCUGGUGCGGGCAGGGUGGGCAGGCUGGGUUGAAGAUCCAUGGAUAGCGGGUGGCCGCGUGGCUCAAGCUGCAAGGUGAGCCCACUUCUUGAGCCCAAGGUACCUCCUCAGCUUGGGGCUAGAAUCGCUUGGAGCUCCCAUCUGCAAAAUGGGAGGCUCGGCUCUGAGCUGUUAAGAAAGAUGCUACCUGGGAAGACGGCAGGAGGCAAGAAGUGUUAGGAAGAGAAGGAUGGUAAUGAUGUGCCCCUGAAGAAUUUCUCCAAAGGCCUGGGCAGCAGAGUCAAGGGCCUGCCCUCUGGAGCUGGCUUUAAAGGGGCACUGAUACCCAGGAAGGCCCAGCCCUGCCCUCAGGAGAGCAAAAGUGCUCAAAAGACAGAACUGCCAAAGCCUGAGGAGCGGGGAGGGAAAGGAGGAGAUGGCUUGGGCAGUCUUGCAGGCUCCCUGGAGGAGGGGGCCUGGAGCAGGGCCCUGAAGCCAUGGAAGAUCUGGAAUGGUAACAAGAAUGAAUUGACACGUGUCUCAGGAGUGCCAAGAAGGGAAGUCUGAGAGACAAGGAGAGAGUAGCAUAAGGGUCAGGGCAGGGCUCCCUCGCUGUGACCAGCAUGAACCCACGUGGGCACUCAGAUGAGGCUGAUGCCAGUAUCCAAGGAGCAGCUCAAACCAGCAGGUCUCCCAACUGGGCACAGAUUGGCGGGUGGCUAAGCCCUGCUCACUAUGGGAGGAGGUCCUAAAAAGCUUCUGGACUCUGAGCCAGUGAAGGCCAUCUGCCAUUUGGGCUUGGCACAGAGCUGCUAUGCCCCUCGGGUUGGAGCUGGCCCAUGAAGGCCUUGGGACAGGGCUUCCUUCCUCUCAUGUUUUUGUUCAAGUUGAUUAAACCUGAGGAAUUUUUGCAUCCAGGAGCAGAGGCCCACGUGCAUUUCUGCGGGAGCCUGUGAUUAUCAAAUCCUCAAAGGGCAAAGUGCCAAGCUUAGAAGAAGCUAACAGCAGGCCAGAAGGAAUGGGGAAGGCCAGCAGCAUCCCCAGAACCUCAGAAACAUCCCCUCAAGGACUCCCAGAUCUCCCAGAGAACCUCCAGAAUCUCAGCAACAUUUCUGAGUUUCAGUAAUGCCAUAAGAAGCCCUGCAACCUCAGUAUUGCCCCCAAGAAGCCCCAGACCUUCAGUAACACAUCAGAACCACUGCAACACCUCAGGACACUCAAACUCUGGCAAACUCAAACUCUGGCAAAUCAACCACAGAUUGGAACAAGAUGUUCAAAAGCCUGUGACCAUUUGCAGAAAGGCCAGAGACCCCCGUUGCUCUCCACCCUCCCAUCUCAGCCCUUGACUCUGAGUCCAGCAGCAAACCCAAUAGUUUACAAUACUCAAACCUCAGGUACACCCCCAACUUCGAUAGCACGGAAGAGAACACGCAAGAGAGGCGUUCCAGGAGUGGGGGGAUGGCCACUGUGCCCACCUGUGCAGCCCAGUCCCCUUGAGAGUCCAUGAAUAAGCAGCCGAGAGAGUCAACCUCAUGCGGGCCCGUGAGCUUGGGGUGUGCCCUCAGUGGCACAGCACACUCACACACACAUCCAACUGCCCUUCGCACACAUACGUGCUUAAUUCUGGCACCAGACCAAGUCUGACUCCACACAGUGGGCUGGAAGGCAGUGUCGUCGGCUGCCGUGCUCACGGCAGGAAGAGUAUGGGUGACUCUCCACCUCCUGUCUCUCUACCUCCUACCUCCCCUGCCAUGUGGGAGGGUCAGAAGCACCAUCUGAUGUGCCCUUCCUGCAAUUCUCAUGCCCCCCUCACCAACAGCAUCAUCAUAACAUAAAGGAUUUAGACCAGGCUGUUCUGGUAUGAGGGUGGACACUGGUGAGGAGGAGGAGGGUAGCCGGCUGUGCCAGGGGAGCAGCAUGUUCUUUCCCUCCCAGAGGGCUAGGCUAGUACUGACCUGGAGGAGGGAGGCAGAUUUCAGCUCAGAACAAAGGUAGCCUUCUAGAGUAGUGAGGCCCCCAUCAAGGGAGGCAAUCAAGAAGAGGCUGUUAACAUCAAGAUGCAACAGAGGGCUUCCUGCCUUCGGAGGACUAGACACAAGGCCAUGAAGAUUCCCCAGCUAUAAGAGCCCCACGUUCUCCGUUCCCAGCACGUUCCUCCCUGGGCUGGCCACCGUGGUGUGGCCUUGAGAUGUAGGCUUUGUGCUGCCCUCCUUCCUCACUGAGGACAUUGACUGCUGGGCAGAUCCCCUGACUUCUCUCUCCUUGUUCCCUUGCUGACCACAGGACAGGGCUCUCCACCAACCUUUUGCCCACAGCCAGUCAGAUCCAACUCAGACAGGACUCUGCGAAUGUCUCCUGCCUUUUGGAGCUCCUGCUAGCCCCCCAGUGUCCCCUGAGGGCAGCCCACCCCAGGUCUCCAAACUUACUCAUCAGAAUUGCUCCAGCCCAUCACUCUGCUCACUUCCUGCCCCUAGGCUCUGACUCCUGCUCACUUCCCACCGCACACCCCAUGUGCCUUCUCGCUGUUCCCCGACCUGUUCCAAUCCCACCUGGCCUCCCAGACUUGGCUCCAGCCUACCUCCAAUCAAGCGCUCUCCUGACCUCUCCCUUCCUUGUCUCUUUCCUUUCCUUUAUUGAUCUCUCCCGGAAACUUGUCCCUCCAGGCAAGCAGGGUGCUCCCAACACGGGGCCUUCUCCUCUGAGCCCAGCACCAGCUGGGCUGGGAUCCUAGAGGGGUGGCUGGUUGUGUGGUCUCGGCAGUUGGCCCUGAGAAGUGUCCCCAGCACCUGCUUUAAAAGGUGUUUGAUCUGCUCCUCCCGGAAGGCAGCUCCCCCCUUCUCCAGUCUGGCUCUGCCCCUCCUCCUGCCCUCACAGACCUCCCGCCCUUGAUUCCGGGAUCAGAGGAACCCACCCCACCCCCAUCUCCAGCUCAGGCACAGAGCAGGGGCUGGGGCCCCACACAACACACAGGGCGGCUUGUCUCCAGCGGUAUAGCCUCUCCACACCCCCAAACCGUUUGCUCGAAACUUGAUCUCCUUGGCCCUCAGAGUCACCUCAGUGGAGAAGCCUGCACAGGGCUUUGAUGGCUGAGUUUCCCCAGAUGUGGCCUUAGAGAAGCUGAGGAACCCCCUACUUACCUCCAUUUGUCCCCAUCCAUCACUCCCAGGGGGCCACUGCCUGAUGAAUUGCCAGAGGGGAACCACCAGCUCGGCUCUUAAUAACCGGAUCUGCAUCCUGCUGCUGCCCAGCUGGGCUGAGGGCCCUGACCACAGCUAAGGGGAGUCAUCACAGGGCUUCAGGGCUGGAAUUCCAGAACACUGAAGACCCAGAGGAGCCCCUGAUCGCCUCCCAGAGCACGGA
rnacentral:lncRNA from 10 species